rnacentral:rRNA from 1 species
AACGAACGCUGGCGGCAUGCCUAACACAUGCAAGUCGAACGAGACCUUCGGGGCUAGUGGCGCACGGGUGAGUAACGCGUGGGAACCUGCCCUUAGGUUCGGAAUAACUCCCCGAAAGGGGUGCUAAUACCGGAUAAUGUCUUCGGACCAAAGAUUUAUCGCCUUUGGAUGGGCCCGCGUUGGAUUAGCUAGUUGGUAGGGUAAAAGCCUACCAAGGCGACGAUCCAUAGCUGGUCUGAGAGGAUGAUCAGCCACACUGGGACUGAGACACGGCCCAGACUCCUACGGGAGGCAGCAGUGGGGAAUAUUGGACAAUGGGCGAAAGCCUGAUCCAGCAAUGCCGCGUGAGUGAUGAAGGCCUUAGGGUUGUAAAGCUCUUUUACCCGGGAUGAUAAUGACAGUACCGGGAGAAGAAGCUCCGGCUAACUCCGUG